rnacentral:rRNA from 1 species
AUGAACGCUGGCGGCGUGCCUAAUCCAUGCAAGUCGAGCGAACAGGCGAGGAGCUUGCUCCUCUGACGUUAGCGGCGGACGGGUGAGUAACACGUGGAUAACCUACCUAUAAGACUGGGAUAACUUCGGGAAACCGGAGCUAAUACCGGAUAAUAUAUUGAACCGCAUGGUUCAAUAGUGAAAGACGGUUUUGCUGUCACUUAUAGAUGGAUCCGCGCCGCAUUAGCUAGUUGGUAAGGUAACGGCUUACCAAGGCAACGAUGCGUAGCCGACCUGAGAGGGUGAUCGGCCACACUGGAACUGAGACACGGUCCAGACUCCUACGGGAGGCAGCAGUAGGGAAUCUUCCGCAAUGGGCGAAAGCCUGACGGAGCAACGCCGCGUGAGUGAUGAAGGUCUUCGGAUCGUAAAACUCUGUUAUUAGGGAAGAGCAAAUGUGUAAGUAACUAUGCACGUCUUGACGGUACCUAAUCAGAAAGCCACGGCUAACUACGUG